CACGUGCCUGUAGUCCCAGCUACUUAGGAGGCUGAGGCAGGAGAAUCGCUUGAACCCAGGUGGCGGAGGUUGUAGUGAGCUGAGAUCGCGCCACUGCACUACAGCCUGGUGAGAGAGCGAGAAUCUGUCUCAAAAAAAAUAAAAAAGGGCAGUAGAUAAAAAAAGUACAAACAUGAGUAUCUUGAUAAAUUCUAUUCUCAGGCUUUCAGGUUCAUAAUCCUGUUGAUAGAUGACAUGUAGAAAUAGAAGAAUUUGUAAAUAUAGGAAUAUUCAUUGAUGUUUUUAGGACUGGAUUCUAAGGGUGGUUUUUACCUCUAAUAUCCAAAUACUGCUGCCUCAAGAGAACAAUUUUUGUUUUCAAAAUUCCAUGAUAAAAAAGAUGCAGUAACCCUGUAUGUGGCAUUUUGUCAGG
rnacentral:lncRNA from 1 species